rnacentral:rRNA from 1 species
CCGACGGUGAGGGGCGAAAGCUGGGGGCACGAACCGGAUUAGAUACCCGGGUAGUCCCAGCCGUAAACGAUGCUCGCUAGGUGUCUGGGAUGGUGCGACCGUUUCAGGUGCCGCAGGGAAGCCGUGAAGCGAGCCACCUGGGAAGUACGGCCGCAAGGCUGAAACCUAAAGGAAUUGGCGGGGGAGCACUACAACGGGUGGAGCCUGCGGUUUAAUUGGACUCAACGCCGGAAAACUCACCUGGGGC